GGAGAGGUCGCAUAGCUGGCCGAGUGCACGCGCCUCGAAAGCGCGCAGGCGAAUAGCCUCGUGGGUUCGAAUCCCACCCUCUCCG
rnacentral:tRNA from 1 species